UACGAAGGGGGCAAGCGUUGUUCGGAAUUAUUGGGCGUAAAGCGUAUGUAGGUGGUCUUUCAAGUCAGACGUGUAAGCCCUCGGCUCAACCGAGGAAUUGCGUUUGAAACUGAUUGACUUGAGUGUAGGAGAGGAAAGCGGAAUUCCCAGUGUAGCGGUGAAAUGCGUUGAUAUUGGGAAGAACACCGGUGGCGAAGGCGGCUUUCUGGCCUGCUACUGACACUGAGAUACGAAAGCCAGGGGAGCAAAGGGG
rnacentral:rRNA from 1 species